GACGAAGGGGGCUAGCGUUGUUCGGAAUUACUGGGCGUAAAGCGAGUGUAGGUGGUUGUCCAAGUUGGAUGUGAAAGCUUUGAGCUCAACUCAAGAAAUGCAUUCAGGACUGGAUGGCUAGAGGACCGGAGAGGAUAGUGGAAUUCCCAGUGUAGUGGUGAAAUACGUAGAGAUUGGGAAGAACACCAGUGGCGAAGGCGGCUAUCUGGACGGUUUCUGACACUAAGACUCGAAAGCGUGGGGAGCAAACAGG
rnacentral:rRNA from 1 species